UUGAAAGGGAAACGAUUGAAGUCAGUCAUGUUGGUAGGGAAUCAACUUGAUGGUUUGCGGGUUUACUCGUGUUCUUUCGAGUGCACUUCCUUACUUGCUAGUUAGCAUCAAUUUUGGUUAUCAUAUAAAAAUUGAGGGAAGGUGGCUUUUCUUCGGAAAAGUGUUAUAGACCUUGAUUAAUGUGGUGACCGGGAUUGAGGAUUGCAGCGGAUACCCUUUUGGGCUAGUCACCUGGCUUCUGAUGAUUACCCUGCCUUCGAUAGCUUGCUGACGUUGGUGGGACUCGAUUGUCUAGAUGUUAGAGUGAUCAUAAAUUCGUUAAGGAUGUUGACGUA
rnacentral:rRNA from 1 species